GGCUUCUGCACUAUUCUACUACAUGGAUAACUGUAGUAAUUCUAGAGCUAAUACGUGCCUCGAUGCCCUGAUCCGCAAGGUGAGGGGUGCACUUAUUAGAUUACAGACCAAACGACUCACGUCGUAGUUUGUGGUGACUCUGGAUAACUUUGUAUGAUCGCAGCUGGCCUUGUUGUCGGCGACGGAUCCAUCAAAUAUCUGCCCUAUCAACUUUCGAUGGUAGGAGACAUGCCUACCAUGGUUAUGACGGGUAACGGGGAAUCAGGGUUCGAUUCCGGAGAGGGAGCCUGAGAAACGGCUACCACAUCCAAGGAAGGCAGCAGGCGCGUAAAUUACCCACUCUCUGAACGAGGAGGUAGUGAAGAUAAAUAUCGAUACAGAACUCAAAUGAGGCUCUGUAAUCGAAAUGAGUGCAAUAUAAAUCGUACAACGAGGAUUUAUUGUAGGGCAAGUGUGGUGCCAGCAGCCGCGGUGACUCCAGCUUAAAUAGCGUAUAUUAAAGUUGCUGCAGUUAAAAAGCUCGUCGUAGUAUCUGGGAAAAGUCGUUUACUGACGGGUAAGCUCUAUUCUGCCCCCGUGUGUUGGGUUGGACCCGGCAGU
rnacentral:rRNA from 1 species